AGCAGCCGCGGUAAUUCCAGCUCCAAUAGCGUAUAUUAAAGUUGUUGCAGUUAAAAAGCUCGUAGUUGAAUUUUGGGUCUGGCCGGGCGGUCCGCCUUCCGGGUGAGUACUGUUCCGAUGUCGGGCCUAUCCUUCUGGUGAGACGGCAUGCCCUUUGCUGGAUGUGUCGGGGAACCAGGACCAUUACCUUGAAAAAAUUAGAGUGUUCAAAGCAGGCGCAUGCUCGAAUACAUUAGCAUGGAAUAAUGAAAUAGGACGCGUGGUGCUAUUUUGUUGGUUUCUAGAACCGCCGUAAUGAUUAAUAGGGAUAGUUGGGGGCAUUAGUAUUCAAUUGUCAGAGGUGAAAUUCUUGGAUUUAUUGAAGACUAACUUCUGCGAAAGCAUUUGCCAAGGAUGUUUUCAUUAAUCAAGAACGAAAGUUAGGGGAUCGAAGACGAUCAGAUACCGUCGUAGUCUUAACCAUAAACUAUGCCGACUAGGAAUCGGGCGAUGUUAUUUUCACGACUCGCCCGGCGCCUUAUG
rnacentral:rRNA from 1 species